GAUGAAGAACGUAGCAAAAUGCGAUACUUGGUGUGAAUUGCAGAAUCCCGUGAACUAUCGAGUUUUUGAACGCAAGUUGCGCCCGAAGCCUUUUGGCCGAGGGCACGUCUGCCUGGGCGUCACGCAUCGCGUCGCCCCCCACAAUUCUCCGUAAAGGGAACAUGUGUUUUGGGGGCGGAUAUUGGUCUCCCGUGCUCAUGGCGUGGUUGGCCGAAAUAGGAGUCCUUUCGAUGGACGCACGAACUAGUGGUGGUCGUAAAAACCCUCGUCUUUUGUUUCGUGCUGUUGCUCGCAAGGUAAACUCUUCAAAAACCCCAAUGUGUCGUCUCUUGACGACGCUUCGACCGCGACCCCAGGUCAGGCGGGACUACCCGCUGAGUUUAAGCAUAUCAAUAAGCGGAGGA
rnacentral:misc_RNA from 1 species